UACGGAGGGGGCUAGCGUUGUUCGGAAUUACUGGGCGUAAAGCGCACGUAGGCGGACUGUUAAGUCGGGGGUGAAAUCCUGGGGCUCAACCUCAGCAUUGCCUCCGAUACUGGCAGUCUCGAGUGCGGGAGAGGAUAGUGGAAUUCCCAGUGUAGUGGUGAAAUACGUAGAGAUUGGGAAGAACACCAGUGGCGAAGGCGGCUAUCUGGACGGUUUCUGACGCUAAGACGCGAAAGCGUGGGGAGCAAACAGG
rnacentral:rRNA from 1 species